rnacentral:rRNA from 1 species
UACGUAGGUGGCAAGCGUUGUCCGGAUUUACUGGGCGUAAAGAGCGCGCAGGCGGUCGUUCAAGUCGCGUGUGAAAGCCCCCGGCUCAACUGGGGAGGGUCACGCGAUACUGAUCGACUCGAAGGCAGGAGAGGGAAGUGGCAUUCCCGGUGUAGUGGUGAAAUGCGUAGAUAUCGGGAGGAACACCAGUGGCGAAGGCGACUUCCUGGCCUGUUCUUGACGCUGAGGCGCGAAAGCUAGGGGAGCAAACGGG